UUAUGUCAAGCUACAAAUAACCUUGAAAACUGGAUUUUUCUCUUUAUAAUACCUGCACAUACUUCCUAGAGAUCAAGUUCUGCAUGGCUCCACAUUCUCCACCAGAAGGAAACAGCCCCAUGCAGGCUAGCUGUAGAGUCACAAGUUUUGGAAUAAUUUCCAAAGUUCAUAAAAGCCAAACAUUCAAGGUUUCCAGGAGUCAUGACUCAGCUGGUUAAAGAGACUGGUUUCACCCUUUCCUCCUUGCCAUUAUAAAGCCACUUCCAAAGACAAUAAUAAUUUUAAAAAGUGAUGUGAUCUCCAUUUAGCUCUUCUAGCUCUUCCAUUUAAUAACAAAUAGUGGGUGAGGCUAAUUUCCCAUCAGUAGAGUGACCUGGCAGCUGGUUUCACAGGCUGUUUUGAUUCAGUCCUAGUAGAAAUGCCCAUGGUUUCCCCUUUGCAAAGAAUCACCAGCUGUUUUUAAGGCUGUGGUGUUUCUUUCCAUCAGCAGACAGUAAUAAAAACUCUCUGUAUCACAAUUAUAUAUGAAUGAGAUACUCACAGAGUUGAAAUUUUUCUUAUUUUAAAUGAAAUUAGAAAGAAAGUAGGUGAUCUGUUGAAAUGUAUUGUUGUAAGAAUUGCUUGUUGGAAGCCUCCAGACAGGUAGGUUAGCAUUGAGUAAAGUCCUCUCCUUGAUGGCCCACUUUAUAAAAUCUAUCAAACAACUUUUUGGUUUAAUUCUUUAAUUAGAUAUUCUUUAAAUCACAACACAGAAGUGCAUUGCAAAUCACAACUGAAUUCUUGAUUACUCAGAGUGUAAAACAAACAUUGGCGAUGUGAAAACACACCUUCACAAGCACAUUUUCCUCCUUAAAUGUGUGAGUGCGUUGUACCUCUUUGCAGCUCACAAACCACACCAGUGCUGUGAGAGCUCCCUUUCCAGUUGUGUCCCACCCUGCCCACUCUCAUUUUUAGAAGGAACUCUGGUUGCCUCUUGGCUGGGGGAAGGAGGCAGGAGGCCCAGACACAAGAAGGGCAUUUCUGCUACAGGGAAGGAGCAAGGCAUAGGCUCAGGUGCUCCAAAGGAUCAACUUUUUCAGGGACCUACUUUCAAGAUCAAAAGCAGAAUGGAACAAAAUCUCACGACUGGCUAGAAAAUGAACAUGGAUUUCAGUCACAAAUUGAAGGAUGGAGCUUUGCUGGGAGACAUGAGAGCUGAUACUCAGGAGAAACAAGUGACGCAAUUUGAUGUGGUCAAGAAAGGAGCUGGAGAGAGGAUCAAAGAGUCAGCUGAUGCAAUCAGAAGGCUAGGCAAGAUGCUGCUGCAAUAGCUUGAGACAUAAGAUGGUGAGAGCUUGGCUGGCAGAAACUGGUCCUUGAACAGUGGGAAAAACCUCCCUCUUACAGCUGGAGUGGAGGAAGUGUCUGAACAGAAAAAUGACUUGGAUGGAUUGCUCAGUGGAGAAGGCUUAACCAAAAAUGGCA
rnacentral:lncRNA from 1 species